CGGAUUGUAGUCUGCAACUCGACUACAUGAAGCUGGAAUCGCUAGUAAUCGCGAAUCAGAAUGUCGCGGUGAAUACGUUCCCGGGUCUUGUACACACCGCCCGUCACACCAUGGGAGUCAGUAACGCCCGAAGUCAGUGACCCAACCAUAACCGGAGGGAGCUGCCGAAGGUGGGACCGAUAACUGGGGUGAAGUCGUAACAAGGUAAC
rnacentral:rRNA from 1 species